CAGAAGUGCGAAUGCUGACAUGAGUAACGAUAAGGGGGGUGAAAAACCUCCCCGCCGGAAGAUCAAGGUUUCCUGUCCAACGCUAAUCGGGACAGGGUGAGUCGGCCCCUAAGGCGAGGCAGAGAUGCGUAGUCGAUGGGAAGCAGGUUAAUAUUCCUGCACUUCUUUAUAUUGCGAUGGGGGGACGGAGAAGGCUAGGCCAGCGCGGCGAUGGUUGUCCGCGUUUAAGGUUGUAGGCUGGUGACUUAGGUAAAUCCGGGUUGCCUUAAGGCCGAGAGCUGAUGACGAGCUUCGAGCGAAAGCGACAAGCGAAGUGGUCGAUGCCAUGCUUCCAGGAAAAGCCUCUAAGCUUCAGGUAUUGGAGAUCGUACCCUAAACCGACACAGGUGGACUGGUAGAGAAUACCAAGGCGCUUGAGAGAACUCGGGUGAAGGAACUAGGCAAAAUG
rnacentral:rRNA from 1 species